AAUAAAGAACACAAAUAAAGACAAUGAUCUCAAGGACAAUGUGUGGAGUAGCAUCGCCAAACAACUAGGCUAUCAAGAUAGUGAAUAGCGUUAGCUUAUGUAGUUUACUUUUGGAUGUAGUAGAGUUGGUAGCAAGGCAACAGUGUCAUAGCAGGUUUAGCUAACGUAAGCUAGCUACCUAACAAUACCGUCGUAUUAAUCAAAUAUGGGAGGCACUCUGUGAAGCUAUUUACCUGGGCACUGCACAUAACACGUCCGCAAAUCUAUUCAAACUUUUUAUUGAACUGUUGCAAAUUUGCAUUGCUGCCGGUAUGAAUACUUUUGAUGCGAAAUAUUCGCAGGCAAGUAUUUAGCAUUUUCGUGUCAUCACGUCCCUGGUGUGUAAAGGCCUUAAGUCAGUGGUUACAAUUACACGCUCAUCAAGACUUUAAUGGAACUUAACACUGUUAAGAUCGGAUCGAAUCUGCCUCUAGGAUGAUCAGCCGUUUGGCAGGGCCUGUUUUACCAUGGCGACCCUGUUCAUUUGCUGCCGAGCCCUAGGGGAGGCAGAGAGGAGCCAAGAGGAAUUGGAAAUCUGAUCCCCCUCCAAAAACAGUGAAAUCACAUUCCAAUAACCUCGAGACCCUCGCUUGGACCUGCUUCAGCUAAAGGCCUGGAGAAACGGUGUGUGUAUGUUUGCAUUUUUUUAAUACCAAGAGUGUGCAUGUACAUGCAUGUGUGUGCUUGAGUAUACGUCUUGUGUAUAUGAAACAUGUACAGGCCACUGAUCACUAUCCCAGCAAGAAGAAUGCAGCCUCAAAGUUGAACAACAAGUGUUGGCCUUUUUUGAAACAUAUUCAAAUGCACAGACUUAGAAUACUUUAUGGGUUCCACAUGUAAAACCAGGGAUAGACGAGCAAGACAAAGCAGCAUUUUCUUUGGUUGUGGCUUUAACAUAAAAGACACAAUUAUAUGACGGAAGAAGUAAAAACAGCAAGUUGUAAAACUACUAAAAGCUCAAGAGUCAGACAGUGUUUUGUGGACAAAAAUAAUGAGCAGUACAGCGUAUCUUUUCUGUACCACUGUUAUGCUGAUAACGCUUAAGGCAGCUGUUUGGGAUGUUUCACAUCACCAGGACAUGCAGUAUGUGGUGUGUAUGUUGUGUUGGCUGGACAUUUUCAGGAAUGUACUUAGCCUCAAAAGCUUGCAAAAACAAUGUCAUUACAUUGUUCGUCAGAGUAAUGCUCAAAUGCUGUAAAUAUCUGAAGGGGGGGAUGGGGGACAGAUGUUUUUUAUGUAUGCGGCAUCUAUGACCCAGCACACUGUCUGUUUUUCCAUCUUACACAUGUGAGUGAGUGUGCCUGUGAGUGUUGAUUUCAGCAUUUCCCGCUGGCAGAGGACUCUGGAGAUUCCGGGAAGUUAUAGGUUGAGUAGGCGUCCAUUUUAUGCUUCAAGGUGAAUUUCAUUAAUGUGUGUGUGUGUAUUUGUGUUUCCCCAUUAUCUCAGAAGCAGCAUCUAGUGUGUUACAAAAGGAAAAAAAUAGUUGUUUGUAUGGUUACUACCACAAACAUUAUGUUUAGACACUUCUUCUCUACCAACAGUAUGCCCAUUUAAGAAGAAUGAAGAUAUGAUUACUAAAAAAAAAAAAAAAAAAGAUUCAGUGCUAACAAUUAGGCUGCAUAAGCUUAUGUAAACAUCUUCUGCUUCAUAAUUUCCUCACUGUUGACCUAAAAUUGCGUAAUCAUGGCAUUCCUCUGUUGGGAUGUAAGCAUCAUUUUUCCCAGACUAGGUCAGAUUUCUGGUUGUCAUUCACGCCUGUGGAUCGCUCCAAUUUUCCAGUGCGGUAAAGCCAGCAACACUCUCCGCCUAAUGUUUCGUGUGCUUUUUGGAUGAAAAACAUUUUAUAGCUCCUCUAAGUGUCAGCUCAAUGUUUCUAAAUGCCUUUCAGAUCUAAUAUAAAUAAUUCGUAACAUCUCAGAGUAGAUUACCCCGCAAUAUUGACUGAAUGGAAGACAAUGCUCAUCUGAAGUGGAUGACCCACCACAGCUGGCCGAAAGCAAACUUGAUAUUUUUACUACAGUAUUUCACCCCAUCUAUUUACAACUUGGGUCCUUUCAAGUUGAGUUAGUGCGGAAAGUCCAUAUUAUGUAGCGGGACCUCCUGGAACACAUGUUAGAGGAGGUUUUGACAUUUGAAGUGAAUUUAGUGAGGUGGCUAAUGAAAGUGAUGGUAGCUUUUCUAUAUCCAUUGUGCAGCAGAUGCAUCAGGCAGCAGCCAAGCCCAACUGUGUAAAUCCACUCCACCUCGGCUCAUUUACUCUCUAAAUCAUUAUGGGUGUCUGGAGAGGAGACAGGGUUCCCCAGACGGGGGACAGCAAGGCGACAGAACACAAACUUCAGGCAGGGUAAGUGGCUUCUGCUGUAUGUUUACACCCCUCAAUCGAUGAGUGUUGCAUAAAUUUUGGUCAGGCACUCACCUAAAUACUUGUCCCUUUUCUCCCUCUCCCCGCUGCCUCUUCAUCUGCGAGGAAAGCCAACCAGUCACACGGCUCAAAGAGCUCUGACCACGUCACACUGUUCCCUCAUUCACGCAUGAGGUCCUCUCUAAUUGGUAACUGAGACAACAUGUGGUUCACACUGGUAUCUAAUUAACAGCUGCAAUUGAUUAAGUGAAAGGAGGAAAGAAAAGAGGUGCUGGAGUAAAGUUUAAAUGUUUAGGUCGUGGGAUUCUCAACUUUAAGUGUGCCAUGCUAUGUUGAUUUAUUUUUAUUGCAUAUUAUAUUUCAUUAACCAAAUUUUGUUCUGUUUUACUAUAUAUACCAUGUACAUUAUUGAUCCAAAAAGUUCAAAACAAAAACCCUAUACAAAUUAUGGAAAUAAAACAUCACCCUACUACUAACUGUGACAGAAUACAUAAAUGAGAAUCAAAUGUAAAGCAGAGCCACACCUAACAAUACAGCAAAACGCAGCAGUGAAAAAUGUUAUACCUACACCACUGGCUUUCUUCUGGACUUCCUUCAAAGAGAAGUCUUUCAGGUCAUCAAAAUCCAACUCCCGUAUGAGGUAAGGUUCACCAAUAAUAAGUGAUGGCAUGUUCAGGUGUCACUGUGCAAAAAGGAAUGUCUCUCGCAAUUGAUGGUAAUAUACCUGAGAGUUUUGGCUAUUUCGUCACCGUUGAGGAAUUUUGCUUAACUGACCUUUUCUGUAUUUUCGUUUAUUUCAAUUUUGAGUAGCAAAAAUGUUUUUUGCUUAAAAAUGUAUAUUCUUGGAAAAGUCUCCUGUAUUAAAAUAAUAGUGCAGCAAGAAUCUACAUGAGUAUGUGUACAAAAACAAUGUGUACUUCUUUAACAAACAUUUAAGUCAUUUUAAGUACAGUAUAGUCCCUUUUCAUCAAAAUGUUCCCUAUCAAUGGUUUUAGGCAUCUGUCCACUGCCAGUGUUGCAAGAGCUUCAGCAACCAGCUUCAUUUGUUUGUUUCUUUUAUAUUGUGUUGUGACUGUGGUCUAUACAGUGAUAUCCUUAUUGGUGAUAUGUUGUGAUGUUGUGCGCUGUACUCCAUUGUACAUUAGGAGUCUAUAGUUUAAUCAUAAUGGUGAGCAUUUCACUGGGUCCACCUGGUCAUCUCCAGGGACAUUUUGAGGCUUUUCACCUUUAAGGAGAUGCCAGACACAGUGAGCUUGGUAAAUACGGGAGGUGUGCAGCCGAAUACAUUACUGGACAGCCAACAGAGACAGGCAGGGAUUUAAUUUGCUCUGUGUGUGUGUGUGUGUGUGUGUGUGUGCAAGAGAGAGAGUAUGUACACAACAUGUAUUGUAUGAGUGUUUGUGUACACAUUACACAUUUGUGUGGAUAAUUCAUCCUUGGUGUAUAUACGCAUUUGUAUAAUGAUCAAUACAGACCAUGUUCUUUGUGUAGUCCUGAGUUUUAGUGGAAAUCAGCUUUGUGGCAGAAUGUAAGCUGGAGGUUUGAAUUGGGUUUAUUGAUGUCAGACUCUAGAGCCGUCUCUCUAAUUCCCCUCCCAAUGUGCAUGUGUGUGUGUGUGUUUACGUGAGCGUAUGUGUAAUUGUCACCUAUCCCCUGCCUGCAGAAAGGGCUUUAAGGAUUUAAUUGAACGCCGCCUGUAGAUGCAAAGUGUAUUUCUCCAGAGAGUCACAACCCCUUUAAUGUUCCCUGUAUUCUAUUUAAAGGUACUGGAUUUCAAAACAGAAGACUAGAAACCUCUAUGACUCCCUAUUUGAUGAGACCUGCGAACAAGGACAUUCAAAAGAACCCAAACAAAAACAGAAUCAACACUACACCAUUAACAAGCAGUGGACCAAGGAUAGACCCCUGUGGCAACCCUUUCUGAUUGUAAGAUGGCUUGACUGAGUACCAUCAGCAACAACAGUCUCUGAGUUCUCUCAGUAAGUGACUGCCAGACUGCUUUGAAGGGCAACUACUUGCUAAAUGACUCCCCAAACCAGGAAAAGAACAGUUGUAUAUGUGGAAGACACAAGAUCUUUUUGACAUGCAAUUUAUAGGGGCCAAAUUCAUCUGGAAGGUCUGAGAAACAUCUAAGCCUACUGUUGUGUUUAGUUUUUACUGCAACUGCAUUGCUGUAAGAUUUUCUGAUGAUGAAAUAUGAUUUUGUUUUAAAGACGACUGAAUUGAAUUUCAAAUGUUGCGUUUGGAUCCAAACAGCACACGAGAAUAGCUUAACCUUGAUGUAUAUCAUAGUUGAUAAAGAAGAACUCCAGCCACAAUAACAUCUAAAUCCUGUUUGUGAAAAAUCACUAUCACCAUGUAAGAAGUGAGAAGAAGUAAGAACUAUAUGUACAAGUGUAUGCAAGCAUGUGAAUGUUGCUGCCUAUUGAACCGAUGUGUUGGGGUACAGCAUGUGUUUCGGGCUCCAUUCUGUGUAUAUUGGCUGCAGUUUGGACCAUGAUGAAUGAGCAUCAGGAUUGAUCCAGUGUUUUUACAGCUGGACAGCACUGCAUUUAGGAAUGAGGAGUGUUUACAAAAACACCCAACCCUAGUUUGUCUUCAAUAUAACAAAUACAUACCACUGAUUCCAUAGACAGUAAGUUGGUGUCAAUGUACACACAAACACACAAACACAUGUGCAUGCACGUAUACACACACAAUGACAGACACCCACACUGGUAACAACUGGUAACCAAACUAUUAAGACCACCCUUGGGUGCAGCACUUUUCUUAAUGCAAUUUGUGUAUGCUUGCUUGUGUGUGUGCUCUGCAGUAAGCAGGAGAAAGGGCCAGAGGUCAUUUGGCAGUUGCGUCAGGUGUGUCUGGCAGACAGUCUGCUUCUCACUGGGACAAAACCCUGCCUCUAAUUCAGGCCCAGUCUCUUAUUGGCAUAUGGAUAUGAGCCAAUAACAAUAAUGUAAUACUUACUGCGUCACACUGUGGAUAUUACAGCAACUGACACAACAUUAUCAGUUUUGAUCUAGUAGCUUUUAUUACCCAUUUUUCAUGAUAUUUGGAAAUGAAAGCACAAUGGUAGGUUGGUGAAGGGAGGGAGGGGCUGAUGUGUGAUUAAAUCCCACAGCAUCAGAAGUGCAUGGUUUGUUAUCUGCUUCACUGUGUUGUGUGCCUGAAAAAAACUGUUUUAAUUCAAGUGUGUAACGAUGUGUUU